rnacentral:tRNA from 1 species
GUCCCUGUAGCGCAAUGGAUAGCGCGUUGGACUUUUAAUCCAAAGGCUGUGGUUUCGAAACCCACCUGGGGUG